rnacentral:rRNA from 1 species
GAUGAACGCUGACAGAAUGCUUAACACAUGCAAGUCUUUGGCGAAGCUGUGCUUGCACCGCCUAGCCAAGGCGGACGGGUGAGUAACGCGUAAGGAACUUGCCCUGCAGUCAGGGAUAACAGACGGAAACGACUGAUAAGACCUGGUAAAGUCAGGCGGACUCAUGUCCAGCCUGAUGAAAAGAGAUGCUGCAGGAGAGCCUUGCGUCCUAUUAGCUUGUUGGUGGGGUAACGGCCCACCAAGGCGAUGAUAGGUAGCCGGCCUGAGAGGGUGGACGGCCACAAGGGGGCUGAGAUACGGCCCUUACUCCUACGGGAGGCAGCAGUGGGGAAUAUUGGACAAUGGGGGCAACCCUGAUCCAGCAAUUCUGUGUGCACGAUGAAGGUUUUCGGAGUGUAAAGUGCUUUCAGCAGGGAAGAAAAAAAUGACGGUACCUGCACAAGAAGCGACGGCUAAAUACGUG